UACGUAGGGGGCGAGCGUUGUCCGAAGUUACUGGGCGUAAAGCGCGCGUAGGCGGCUUCUUAAGUCUGGGGUGAAAGGUUCAGCGCUCAACGCGAACAGUGCCUUGGAUACUGGGGAGCUUGAGUUCGGGAGGGGGCAGUGGAAUUCCGGGUGUAGCGGUGAAAUGCGUAGAUAUCCGGAGGAACACCGAUGGCGAAGGCAGCUGCCUGGCCUAGAACUGACGCUGAGGUGCGAAAGCGUGGGGAGCGAACGGG
rnacentral:rRNA from 1 species